rnacentral:rRNA from 1 species
GAGUUUGAUCAUGGCUCAGGAUGAACGCUGGCGGCGUGCCUAACACAUGCAGUCGAACGAAGCAAUCGGAUGAAGUUUCGGAUGGAUUCCUGGUUGACUGAGUGGCGGACGGGUGAGUAACGCGUGGAUAACCUGCCCCACACUGGGGGAUAACAGUUAGAAAUGGCUGCUAAUACCGCAUAAGCGCACAGUACCGCAUGGUACGGUGUGAAAAACCCAGGUGGUGUGAGAUGGAUCCGCGUCUGAUUAGCCAGUUGGCGGGUAACGG